AUUAUGGAGAGUUUGAUCCUGGCUCAGGACGAACGCUGGCGGCGUGCCUAAUACAUGCAAGUCGAGCGGAGUUGAUGAGAAGCUUGCUUCUCUGAUACUUAGCGGCGGACGGGUGAGUAACACGUAGGCAACCUGCCCACAAGAUCGGGAUAACAUUCGGAAACGAAUGCUAAGACCGGAUAAACAGUCCUCUCGCAUGGGAGGGUUGGGAAAGACGGAGCAAUCUGUCACUUGCGGAUGGGCCUGCGGCGCAUUAGCUAGUUGGUGAGGUAACGGCCCACCAAGGCGACGAUGCGUAGCCGACC
rnacentral:ncRNA from 1 species